rnacentral:lncRNA from 1 species
GCUGCCAGCAGCGUCGGUGCUAUUCUGGACAUUGUCAAAUUCCGCCAUUGUUCAACUCUGAUUGGCCCGGAGGGCUGUUACGGUCUCUCCGAUUGGCUUACAGUGCCGCCAUUACGAAAUUUGACAAGAUGGCGGAAUUUGACAGUGUCUAGGA